AUUUAGUGUGUGGAUUCUGGCGAGAGAUUCGGGAGAGACGACGAUCCGCCGCUAGUACCAGCCGCAACCCCUAAUUACGCUGUUGGAUUUGCAGCGUUUUUCUAUUUUCGAAAUCAUCACCUUUUUGCGCACGUGAGUGGCAGCUAUAUUGAUUUUGGGAGAGAAGAGGAUGGAAGUGGUGGCUAGCUGCAAGGACAAAUUAGCAUAUUUUCGGGUUAAGGAGCUUAAGGAUGUCCUUACACAACUUGGACUUUCUAAGCAGGGAAAGAAACAGGACCUUGUUGACCGAAUACUGACACUUCUCUCUGAUGAUCGAGUUUCAUCAGCAUGGGCCAAGAUGAAUGCUAUUGGAAAGGAUGAAGUGGCAAAGCUCGUUGAUGACACAUAUAGAAAAAUGCAAAUCUCUGGGGCACCUGACUUGGCAUCAAAAUCACAAGGCCUUUCAGAUGGCGCGAAGGUAAAACUUAAAGAUCAUAUGGAGACACGCUGUCUCUGUGGAAGCUCAUUGCCUACUGAUUCAAUGAUUAAGUGUGAGGAUCCAAGGUGUAGUGUGUGGCAACAUAUAUCAUGUGUGGUGAUUCCCGAGAAACCAAUGGAUGGUGUUCUACUUAGUCCACCAAAGACCUUUUACUGUGAAUUAUGUAGGCUGAGUCGAGCAGACCCUUUCUUGGUGUCAAUUGCAAAUCCCCUCUAUCCUAUGAAAUUGAAUAUCACAAGUGUUUCUGCAGAUGGCUCUAAUCCUUCUCUGAGCAUUGAGAAAACGUUUAAACUAACAAGGGCAGAUAAGGACUUGUUGUUGAAACAAGAACAUGAUGUUCAGGCAUGGUGUAUGUUACUCAAUGAUAAGGUCACAUAUAGAAUGCAGUGGCCGCAAUAUGCAGAUCUGCAAGUAAAUGGUGUACCAGUACGGGCAAUAAAUAGACCCGGUUCUCAACUUCUCGGAGCAAAUGGUCGAGACGACGGACCUAUUAUUACAACCUACACCAGCGACGGAAUUAAUAAGAUUUCCUUAACAGGAACUGAUGCUCGCAUUUUCUGUAUGGGAGUUAGAAUUGUAAAGCGAAGGACUUUGCAUCAGAUUCUCAAUUUGAUACCAAAAGAGGAUGAAGGUGAGCGUUUUGAGGAUGCACUAGUUCGUGUUCGUAAAUGUGUUGGCGGUGGACCUGCCACAGAAAAUGCUGAUAGUGACAGUGAUAUUGAAGUUGUUGCUGAUUUUGUUCCUGUCAAUCUCCGCUGUCCUAUGAGUGGUAUGAGAAUGAAGAUUGCUGGAAGGUUUAAGCCUUGUGCUCAUAUGGGCUGUUUUGAUUUGGAAGUAUUUGUGGAGAUGAACCAACGCUCCAGGAAGUGGCAAUGUCCCAUUUGUCUGAAGAACUAUUCUUGGGAGAAUAUUAUCAUAGAUCCUUAUUUCAAUCGGAUAUCACACAAGAUGCGGGAUGCUGGAGAAGAUGUGACAGAGAUUGAGGUAAAGCCUGACGGCUGUUGGCGUGCUAAGGCAGAUGGAGAUCGUAGAGGUCUUGGGGAGCUUGGGCUGUGGCAUUUGUAUGAUGGUUCCAUCUGUUCAUCAACUGAAGCAGAAUCAAAGCCAAAAGUAGAACUUAAACUGGCUAAACAUGACAAUGAUUCUGAUAGUCAUGGUGCUCUAAAAAUAGGGAUUAGAAGGAACCAGAAUGGUUGCUGGGAAGUUAAUAAAGCUAAUAAUUCACGAGGUGCCUCACCUGCAAAUAGACUUAAUGGAAACUUCAAGAAAAAUGGUGAAAUUAUAACUCCUAUGAGCAGUAGUGCCACUAGUAGCGGCAGAGAUGGUGAAGAUGGCAGUGAAUAUGAGUCCAUGCCCCUGAGUGUUGAACCGCCACAUGGAUUCAAUGAUCCAAUUACUGCUACUCCAGGUGUGGAUGCAGAAGUGAUUGUCCUUAGUGAUUCUGAUGAAGAAUCUGAACCACUGAUGACGUCGAAGGCUGUUUAUAGUGGAGCAGAUGCUAGUAGCAUUCAGUUUCCAGCUCCACAGCAUGGGAUUCCUGAUUCUAAUUAUGAAAAUCCUGCUGUUAGCGAUGGUGCAAAUUCAUGCUUUAAUCCUUACAAUACAAAUGAUGAUGAGUUUGGGAGUGAUAAUUGGUCAUUGCCACCUGAUGAUCAGGAUUUUCAAUUAUCUGGGUCUGAUGCUGACCUUUCUGGCCCUUUAGUUGACAUGGAGGACAUCACUCUUAAUUGCCAGCCAUCUACGAAUGGCCAUAAAUUGGCUAUGGAGACUUCUACGGGAUCUGCUGCACUGAUCCCUGAUUCUAAUGCUCAACAUACUGAUAUGAAUGGUGGUUUAGUAGAUAAACAUUUGGCGUGUAGUGGCAAUAGCCCCUCACUCCAAAUACCUACAAGGCCUUCUGAUUCUUCAGCUGCGCAGACUGGUUUGAGAGACAAUCCUGAUGUAUCAAAUGGUAUUCAUACUGAGGACUGGAGAUUUAUCAGGCUUGGUGGUGGUGGCAGAGGAGGUUGGGGUGAACGCACAGCUGCAAAUGGCUUAGGUCUAGCCAAUCAAGUACAUCCGAAAGAUAGUAACUUGGACAUGUUAGCAGAUCAUGCAACUUUUUCUCUUGGUAUGAAAGGCAACAGGACCGGUAAGACGAGUAAGAAAAGAUCUGAUAAUCCGUUUUCAUUUCCUCGCCAGCGGCGUUCUGUAAGACCAAGAUUAUACAUGUCAGACUCCGACUAGAGACAUAGAAGAGGCAAUCUGGAGGGAAUGCCUUAUUUAUAUUCUAUUAGAAGUUGAUAGGACUGCUGUCAGAGAUGCCUUGUUUUUUUUUUUUGUGGAGAGGCAGUCUCAUUCUUGCUACCAAGUUGACCAUCUAUGCAUGUAGUUGAUAGAAGAAGCUGACCACAUUACCUGCUGCACUGAAAAAUGAUUCACGGACAACUUAUUAGUACCUCUUAUGCUGCCCCCACAGAAUUUGGUAUAUUGCUGCUAAAUUGCUUAUUUUGUAGUUCCAGUAAGAUGGUAAAGUUAGGGUUUCACCUAAUUUUGCUCGAUCUAGUUAGGAAAAAAAAACCCUGUAAAUUAGACAGCAUGAUACAAAUCCAGUGUUUCUUUUAUUUAAUGUAUAAAAGUAUUUGAUUGCAAAUUUGCAAUCAAGUCCA